rnacentral:lncRNA from 1 species
UUUAUAUUUAUUCAUUUAUAUUUAUUCAUUUAUGUUUAUUUUUUUAUUUUUAUUUUUUUAUUUUUUUACUUUGUCAGGACAAGGGAGUACUAACUACCAUAUUACUAAGUUUGACCAUGCUAAGCCUAAAUUAUGAUUUUUAUUUAAACUUAUUAGAAAAAUAUGUAUAUAAUAAAUAUGAACAAUUUGAAAUUAAAUAUCUGUGUAACAUUGCUUACUCCAUUGCUUUAUGGCUAGCCAAUCAACCAGUACAACAUAAACACAUAACUAUAACUACUGACAAAAACAUAAACGAUGAUAAACUACAACAUAAUAGUAAAGAAUUGUUAAUUACCAUGUUAAACGAUAUCGUAUCUUUGCUAUUAAAAAAUAUGCAUAAACUCAAAAACGAGGAGUUAAAACAGGUACACAUAGCGUUGUAUUAUUUAAAUGUUAUCGGAAUGAGAUACGAAAAUAAUAUUAAAACAAUAGAAAAAAAAAAUAUUAAAAAUAAUAUAACUACAUCAAGAAUGCAAGACCAAAUAGAAAAAAUAUUUAAAGAAUUGGGUGUAAAAGUAGAAAAAGAAAUACCUGUUGGACCAUAUAUGCUGGAUUUUGCUUUAAAGAAAAGAAAAAUUUGUAUAGAAAUUAAUGGAUUUACCCAUUACUACACAUCUAAUGGGAAAAUAAAUGCUAAAACCAACUUGAAGUAUUUUAUUCUUAACAAACUUAAUUGGAAAGUUGUUACUAUCGAGUACAUGGAUUGGAAGAACAAAAAAAAAAGAAGAAAAAAUAAAAUAUAUAGAAACAAAUGUACUGGACAAAAUAAAAUGAUAAAAAUUAGUUAAGUUUUUCACAUUUAUGAUUUGAUUUAUAAACAGCGAAUCGUUAUGUAAUAAAAAAGUACAAGCACGUGUAAACA